CACUCAUGGAUGCCAUCGUAUUACAUCCGAGAUCCUAUGUUGAGUGCGCGAGACAUUCGAGGAGUUCCGAUUGAGGAAUGUGCUACACGGGCAGAUGAAAACAACCUAUGGUCUCGCGCGAAGUGAGCGGAAUGAAAGAGACGUAUCCGGUAAAUAUCAUUUAUCCGGAAUGCUAGUGCGCAAUGGCGGCAAUAAACAAACGAAGCUAAGCGAAGACGUUGAAGGAAAAACUUCUUUCUUUAUUUAUUUCUUACCGUUAUAAUAGAUCAGUGAAAAUGAUGGACAACGAUCAAUCGCAUAAAUCCCAUGAAGAAUACAAAACUGAAAGUAGGGCAAACAGAUCUCUGGACAUACCAGAGCUGAGGUGAGAUAAGACAGAUGGAAACCAAUGUAAUUCAGACGAAAAGGGAAUGCAACUCAAAAUACCAAGGAAAAACAAGAAAGGCCAUUGUGAAUCAGCAGCUGAUGUCCUAUACAACCAUCCUUCCAUGACACAUGCAAUGGGAAGUUUAAUUUCAGGAAACAAAGCCUACCUGAAACUUCAAAAUGACGUUUCCAGAAAGCUAAAAAUCAACAAAAAAUGGCUAGUAUUGUAACUAACACCUUACAACCCAGAUUUCAUUCCACUGAAAAGAAAAGGGGCAGAAAAUUUUGCAUGUCCAUGUCUUGGAAGGUGACAAGGUGGGAAGUCAAUAGAUGCUUACCAGAUCAGAUGCUUGCAGAGGAUACUGGGGAUA